AGCGAACGCUGGCGGCAGGCCUAACACAUGCAAGUCGAACGAACCUUUCGGGGUUAGUGGCGGACGGGUGCGUAACACGUGGGAACGUGCCUUUAGGUUCGGAAUAACUCAGGGAAACUUGUGCUAAUACCGAAUGUGCCCUUCGGGGGAAAGCUUUAUCGCCUUUAGAGCGGCCCGCGUCUGAUUAGCUAGUUGGUUGAGGUAAUGGCUCACCAAGGCGACGAUCAGUAGCUGGUCUGAGAGGAUGAUCAGCCACAUUGGGACUGAGACACGGCCCAAACUCCUACGGGAAGCAGCAGUGGGGAAUCUUGCGCAAUGGGCGAAAGCCUGACGCAGCCAUGCCGCGUGAAUGAUGAAGGUCUUAGGAUUGUAAAAUUCUUUCACCGGGGACGAUAAUGACGGUACCCGGAGAAGAAGCCCCGGCUAACUUCGUG
rnacentral:rRNA from 1 species